AAUGCAUGAUGGGGAUGCUUCCUAAGCAAUUCUUUGAAAUUUUCUCAAACUUCAUAAAUUGACUCGCCAUCUAAUUGUGUAAAUGAGGUGAUAUCAUUCCUAAGGUU